UACGAAGGGGCUAGCGUUGUCCGGAGUUACUGGGCGUAAAGGGCAUGCAGGCGGUCGGACGCGUUUCGGGUGACAGCGGGUGGCUUAACUACCCGAGUGGUCGAAAGACGGUUUGACUUGAGGACGCGAGAGGGACACGGAAUUCCGGGUGGAGUGGUGAAAUGCGUAGAGAUCCGGAGGAACACCGAAGGCGAAGGCAGUGUCCUGGCGCGUAACUGACGCUGAGGUGCGAAAGCCAGGGGAGCGAACGGG
rnacentral:rRNA from 1 species